rnacentral:lncRNA from 1 species
GAAGAGAAGUCAGAGUUGAGCUGGGGGAGGCUUCAGAGGCUCUGCAUGCCCAGGAGGCUUCUCUGAGACUGGGAAGGAGUGGAAACUCAGUAGCCCGUGGUCCUGGUUGCGCGCUCCCUCCCAUGUCUUCAUUAUCUGAUUUGGUAAAAUAUCUACAAGACGGGGGAGUCCGGGCUGCUUUCUUUGACACUGGUCAUCACUCCACACCUAGACGCUAUGUCCAUGUCUGGAAGAUGCUUUUAAGGAAGUUUUGAUGCAGAGAAGAGUGGCCGGUGCUCUUCCUCGCGUGCCACCAUCUGCUUACUUCCAGAAGCUAAUUAUUUUCAUGUGACUGAUGUGACUAAUAUUUUUUAACGCCUGCAGGUUCGUUAUGUACCAGCAAAUGUUCAUGGUACUGAAGAUAUACCAGUUGAAGAGAAAGAAUGUUCUUGUUGUCAUAGUACCUAUUUGCUACGAGGUCAAAUCUUGUUCCUGGAAGAAAUGUACAAAUAUUAAUACUUAAAACAGUAUUUUCCAUUAAGAAGAGAAUUUUAUUCUGAUGUUCUGAAAACAGCCAGUUACUUCCCAAGAGUUGCACAGAGAAGCCUGCACACUUCCAUCUGGAUAUUUAGUUACCCUCUUGGAAACAGUCUCCACUCCACCCAUCACAUUCUACCUCCAAGGACUGGAACACAGACUUAUUCCCACCUCCCCGCUUCUGGGCUCUUGGCUGGCCCCAGGUCUCUGACAAUCCUCCCUUGGGGCCAGAGGUACUCAAGGAUGCCAAGAGGGAUAUUGAGUUCACACACACACACACACAAGGUGCAAAAAAACCCCUUGGGUAUUGGCCUAACCAAUAAACACUUUUCUUUGGUUAAUCAUUGCUAUUAUCAAAAAAUCUUAAUAUAAAAAUCUAGGCUAUACAAAGAAAAUUACUCAAAUACAAAUGUUGUUCACAUUGUAAA